rnacentral:tRNA from 1 species
GGAGAGGUGCCCGAGAGGCUUAAGGGAGCAGUUUGCUAAACUGUCGUAUGCGUAAGUGUACCGCGGGUUCGAAUCCCGCCCUCUCCG